GGCUCAGGAUGAACGCUGGCGGCGUGCUUAACACAUGCAAGUCGAACGAAGCACUUGAUUUGAUUUCUUCGGAAUGAAGAUUUUUGUGACUGAGUGGCGGACGGGUGAGUAACGCGUGGGUAACCUGCCUCAUACAGGGGGAUAACAGUUGGAAACGACUGCUAAUACCGCAUAAGCGCACAGGAUUGCAUGAUCCAGUGUGAAAAACUCCGGUGGUAUGAGAUGGACCCGCGUCUGAUUAGCUUGUUGGCGGGGUAAUGGCCCACCAAGGCGACGAUCAGUAGCCGACCUGAGAGGGUGAUCGGCCACAUUGGAACUGAGACACGGCCCAAACUCCUGCGGGAGGCAGCAGUGGGGAAUAUUGCACAAUGGGGGAAACCCUGAUGCAGCGACGCCGCGUGAGCGAUGAAGUAUUUCGGUAUGUAAAGCUCUAUCAGCAGGGAAGAAAAAAUGACGGUACCUGACUAAGAAGCACCGGCUAAAUACGUGCCAGCAGCCGCGGUAAUACGUAUGGUGCAAGCGUUAUCCGGAUUUACUGGGUGUAAAGGGAGCGCAGGCGGAAGGCUAAGUCUGAUGUGAAAGCCCGGGGCUCAACCCCGGUACUGCAUUGGAAACUGGUCAUCUAGAGUGUCGGAGGGGUAAGUGGAAUUCCUAGUGUAGCGGUGAAAUGCGUAGAUAUUAGGAGGAACACCAGUGGCGAAGGCGGCUUACUGGACGAUCACUGACGCUGAGGCUCGAAAGCGUGGGGAGCAAACAGGAUUAGAUACCCUGGUAGUCCACGCCGUAAACGAUGAAUACUAGGUGUGGGGGUUGUCAUGUCCUCUGUGCCGCCGCUAACGCCAUUAAGUAUUCCGCCGGGGGAGUGCGGUCGCAAGAUUAAAGCUCAAAGGAAUUGACGGGGGCCCGCACAAGCAGCGGAGCAUGUGGUUUUAAUUCGAAGCAACGCGAAGAACCUUACCUAGACUUGACAUCUCAUGCAUUACCCUUAAUCGGGGAAGUUCCUUCGGGGACAGGAAGACAGGUGGUGCAUGGUUGUCGUCAGCUCGUGUCGUGAGAUGUUGGGUUAAGUCCCGCAACGAGCGCAACCCUUAUUGUUAGUUGCUACCAUUUAGUUGAGCACUCUAGCGAGACUGCCCGGGUUAACCGGGAGGAAGGUGGGGAUGACGUCAAAUCAUCAUGCCCCUUAUGUCUAGGGCUACACACGUGCUACAAUGGCAAGUACAAAGAGACGCAAUACCGCGAGGUGGAGCAAAACUCAAAAACUUGUCUCAGUUCGGAAAGUAGGCUGAAACUCGCCUACAUGAAGCUGGAGUUGCUAGUAAUCGCGAAUCAGCAUGUCGC
rnacentral:rRNA from 1 species